GACGGAGGUGGCAAGCGUUGUUCGGAUUUAUUGGGCGUAAAGGGUGUGUAGGCGUCCCGUUAAGUCGUAUGUGAAAGCCUUUGGCUCAACCAAAGAAUUGCAUACGAAACUAACAGGAUUGGGUACAAAAGAGGAGAAUGGAAUUCCCGGUGUAGAGGUGAAAUUCGUAGAUAUUGGGAAGAACACCAGUGGCGAAGGCGAUUCUCUGGUUUGAUACCGACGCUGAAACACGAAAGCUAGGGGAGCAAACAGGAUUAGAUACCCCAGUA
rnacentral:rRNA from 1 species